rnacentral:lncRNA from 1 species
CCAAGUAGAAUUUUUUAUUUAAAAAAUGUUGUGUGGAGAGGAGAGAGGAAGGUAGUAGAAAGAGAUCGUUAUUUGUAAAGCAAUCACCUCAUAAGCUAAAUUUUAGGACUACGGGACUAUUUCUCCAUCAUUGCACGUGUAUUUGUUGCCAUGGAACUUAGAUCAUUUAGCUGUUAAAUGCACAAAGUAAUUAAGAAAUUGGGGGAAUUACUACGAGACAAUGCUAAUUGUGAAGAUUUUAUAUUAUUUUAUUUUAAGAUUAUGUGUCAAUGCUUGAGACCACCACCCUACCAAUGUACUUGCUCUAGGCCCCUAAGUAAGAUUUUGUUUUAAAUUGGUAGCCUUUGAUAGUGUUAUUUCAAAGUUUUCAUUACUUAGACCAAAAUAACAUGCCACAAUGAUUCAAAGUACUAAGAGGAAAUCUUACUCUAUGUUAGCUCUCACUGAAUAUCUCCUUUUUCUUUGAUCUCUUUAGAUUCCUCAAAAAACUGCACACGUCCAUUGCACCCUGAAAGCCCUCCAUUAGAUAUUUCUCUCUAGGAUUUGCCCUAAACUAUUCC